AUACGGAGGAUGCGAGCGUUAUCCGGAUUUAUUGGGUUUAAAGGGUGCGUAGGCUGUGCGUUAAGUCAGGGGUGAAAUGCCGUCGCUCAACGACGGAGCUGCCCUUGAUACUGGCGUGCUGGAGUACGGAUGCCGUUGAGGAAUGAGUGGUGUAGCGGUGAAAUGCUUAGAUAUCACUCAGAACACCGAUUGCGAAGGCAUCUGACGAAUCCGGCACUGAGGCGGAGGCACGAAAGCGGGGGGAUAGAAAAGGAUUAGAUACCCUGGUAUUCCACGCCGUAAACGAUGAUGACUAACCGUCGGCGAUAGACAGCCGGUGGCCAAGCGAAAGCGAUAAGUCAUCCACCUGGGGAGUACGUCGGCAACGAUGAAACUCAAAUGAAUUGACGGGG
rnacentral:rRNA from 1 species